CUCCGCGUGGGCAGGAGAAGUCUUCAGGGUGUGUUUGCUGGAUUAACGAAAGGUCGAUGCCAAUACAGGACACCCCUGCAGGUUUUAAAAAACAAAAUGGCCAAGGCUCUCCCCAGGUGUCGAUGGGGUGGGAGGCAUGGCCCAACUCCUGAAGAUGUCAUGGCACAGUGGGCAGCCACCAUGGGGAAUCCGGCCAGGAUGACAGAGACAGCCCUGCAGCAUGGCACUGCUCACAGUGGGGCCAGGCCCUGGAGGAGUCUCCUGAAGCCACAAACAUACAUAGUCCGCACCCUCCCCUGCCCCAAACUCAGCGUGUAGCAGAUCAACCUCUGUACUAUCAGCCAAGCCAAUACAACAAGCACAGUGAUCUGUGGACUACUCCCCAAGAACAAAACAUCGAAGAACAGCCAAGCUGGCACGCUGGCUCACACCUGUAAUCCUAGCACUUUUCAAGGCCGAGGCAGGCAGAUCCCUUGAGCCCAGGAGUUCGAGACCAGCCUUGGCAACAUGAUGAAACCCUGUUUCUACAAAAGGCACAAAAAUUAGCUGGGUGUUGUGGGAGGAUCACUUGAGCCAAGGAGGUAGAAGUUGCAGUGAGCCUUGAUUGCACCCUGCACUCCAGCAUGGGUAACAGAGCAAGAC
rnacentral:lncRNA from 1 species